GAGAAACUCCUUGCAGUUGGCCUUGGGAAGCUGGGGAGGACUUGAAACUUCUAAGUGGCCCUGGGAGCAACCGGAGGUGGGGUGGGCCAGUGCCUGUAGGCCUGGGCCUGCCUGGCUGAGGAUCCCAGCUGGACUACUGCCUUGCUGUCUACAAAUGAUGGAGCCCUUCCAGUCUCAGCUUCCUCACAAGUAAAAUGCAGACGGCAAUGCCUCUUUCCAGUGACGUUGUGAGGAUUCGAUGGGAAGUUUCAUGAAAGCACUUAGCAGGGUUUUUGUUGAGUGCUCAGAAGGUGAUAGUUUGGUGUUGCUAGGGGAACAGAAGCCUGGGCUGAGAACAGGCCGUGGAGAGUCACAAAUGGUCUUCAGCCGUCGGAAGGCACUGUUAGAUUUACUCUUCACAAAGAACAUUUUGGGACAUCUUGGUGUACGGAUUAGAAGGAAGGACAGAAGCUGGUGAGCUGUGGGCCACAGGGUCAGCAGGGAGGAUACUGAAGCAGUCCACAGACGCAGCUGUGAGGGUGUCCUGGAGCUGGGGAGAGGGAGAGGAGUGGAUUAGAGACGUGUUUGGAAAGUGUUAAUAAGAUAGGCAGGGCUGAGGGGAGAGAACAAGAGAGGGAGAAGGGGGUAGAUUUUGAUGAGGAGGUGACGGCAGUGACAGUGACUGAGAGGAGCAAUAAAGCCAGGAGCAGGCUGUGGGAAGAGGGAGUGGCUUCCCUCAGAAGAGGCGCCGCCUCCCUAGCAGUGAGCAAAUGUGUUUAGGAACAUGUUCUUCCUCCCAAUCCAGAGACGGAUUGCUGAGAUGAUUCCUGCUUUCCGGCUCCCCGACACCCGCUGUUCUUUAGAUCCGCUCAGCGGCGCUUUUUCCUGUGCCACGUGCCCAGAUCUGAGCGAGGCUUGGGAAGACGCGAACGGGCUGUAAAAUCUGUCCCCAGAACUGGAGAAGAGCAAGCUCCAGGCACAGGCAAAGGGUGUGGCUUCAGAGAAGAGCGAGGAUCUUGCCAUCUCUUUUACAGGCACUUUGGCAAAGGAGUGUGAGUUUUGGGGAAGCUCAAGGAAGAGGUACCAGGUAGAGAGAGGGCCAGGGCUGAGUUCACGGGCUCUUUCUAAAUGGAAAUGUCUCACAUUCAGCUGUUGUCUGCCUUUGAGUCACACAGAACCACUUGCAGGAAGAACUCUAGAGAAUUUGGGAAGAAAGGGGGAGAGGACAGACAAAAGAUGCAUUUUUCUUUCAAGAAGCAGGAAAAUGUAAGGAAAAUUGAAGGUGUUCUCAAGUGUGUCUGCUGCUGCCUGACACAGGUUAACCCCGUCGCAGGUCACUCCGCUCUGUUAAUUGCAUCCUAACCUUCCUCGGCUCUUCGGCAGCGAAAUCGCAGCAGAGGAGAUGGAGCAGCUUCGUGCGCAUUGCUCAUUUGCGCCAACGUGAAAAGAACUGCCAGGAUGCCCAGGACACCAGCUCCCUGGCUUCUGCGGUGCUUGCACAGUCCUGAAUCAGCCCGAGAGCUGUGGAUCUGCGUCCCCUGGCUGCAUAGCCGACUGCCGGCUCCAUGGAGGGGCCUGUGCCGGAGAACGCACAUGUUGACUUAUUUCUUCAGUCUAGGCCUUUCUUGGCCCCCUUGGUUAUUCAUUCUAGAUGAUACAACUCUUAUUUCAGUUCAAAUGUCUCACGGAAGAGGCAUUGAAGACAGAGUGGAUGCCCGUGUUUGUUGGCAGUAGGUAGUAUUUACCACUCCGGUUGUAGUAAAAGAACAAAAGGAGAAAUUACACCUAUUUCUCAUAUUUAAGGGAAAAGCAAUUAAAUCACCAAAGUCAGAUUCUCGAGUAAUUGCUGGGCCCUUGGAGGGGCGGGCAAGGUGAGGUGUGAGGCCCCAGAUCUCUGUCUUGUGUGGGGCUGACACUGCCUGCUGGGGACUCCAAGCAGAGGCGGGGCCAGGGAAGGCAGCAUGCAGGGGGAAACCGAGAGCCUCUUGCCAGCCUCCCCUCCCAGCUGCUAUCCAUGCACUUGUCGUAGCUUCGCCGCUGUCCUCAGGCCAGGCAAGAGGUAGCAGGGCUCCACCUACAGAAGUUAUAGGAGGCGACUCUCAGAGCCUUGAUUUCCUCCAUUUGAAAUACUGAGAACAGUAUCUUCCAUACCUAGUUUCUAAAAGUUGUUAUGAAGAUUACGUAGAUUCAUACCUGUGAAGGCUGGUGAAAGAAUAAAACAGCCUAAACACACAAGGUGUUAAAAACAUCCCUUCCAACUAAAUAAUAGAUGAGUUGGAAUCCCAAGCAUGCUGGACAGCAGCAGUCACAGCCGAGGGGUGGGGGCCCCGUCCCUUACCAGGUGACCUCCCAUCGGUCAGGAGGACGAUGGCAUGUGGCAGUGCCGAGCACCACCUGGCUGGGAUCACUUCUCCCGCCUUCCUUUCUCCUUCUCCGGCCUGGGUCGGUAGCAUGGUCCGGAGAGCCAGCAGGCAGUCUCUCCCAGUCCGCAGAGGCAGAGGAGCGGUCUGAACGUGCAGGGCGGCCACUGCCAAGGCAGCCUGGGAUCAGGAGCUGCCCUGCACCUGGUGAUCUCUGCAAAUCAAUGCUUACCCAGAAGGAAAACCAAUUUACAUUGGUUCCUGUGGGUGCGGACAUUCCAGUCACAGAACAGCAGCUCUACAUCUAGGAGGCUCCUGAAGAACCCAAACUAACUGUGAAAAUGCAAGUGAAAAGUCCUGCUCUGGUGUGUUACAGGUGCUGCUUCUAGAAAACCCCUUUAUUAGAAAGCAGCAUGAAACCAGCGUUGGGAUAUAAGAGGAUGUGCUUUGUUAAAAGAAAACCUCUUUCUAAUACUCCCAACCAAAGGGCCAGAGGUCUUGUCUAACUAAAUGCCACCUUUCUGUGAUUCUUGGAGCUUCAUCUUCAAAGACUGAGAGGAUCCUCCUUCAUCUGAAACCUCUCAGAAAGGGAAAGGUUGGUCGUGACUUGUCCCCUCAACAAGGAACUUCAGGCACUGCCAACUGUGUUCAGUAACCCUUCUCUGACAGGAUGCUCUCCAGAAAAAUUCCUGCUAGCUUGACUCAGAAGAAGAGCAGCCUGUGCAUGAGCCUGUUCCCCUUGAGAAUUUCCUCUUCCUUCAUUAGUGUCUUGCGAUGGCCACAUUCUCCAUUUCUGUGACUUCCUACCAGCUUUUCAAAUGCUUAACUACAAACUAAAGUUAUUCUGGCAUUGGCAAUGUGAUCUCAGGAUUCCCACAACUAGCUUUCCUCAAGAUGAAUAUUGGGACGAGUUUGGCAGCAGACUGUAUGAUAAGGAGCACUGGAAUGGGAGUCAGAAAGCAUUGUGAACCCUACAGGGCAAGUGACUUCACCUCUCUUAAUCUCAUUGUCAUCAACUGUAAGUGAGAGUGAAUGAAGGAUGCUCCCAACUGUCAAACCCUGUAAGUUAAGAAAACCUGUGCUCCAGAGGAGAACAUGAACAUUGGCAAAAAGGUAUUUAUACAUCCUUCACCAUAUUUUUGUAGAUGAGUCUGAAAGAAUUUUGAAUUCACCUAGCAAUUGCACUAUCCUGAUUUCAUAUGGAAAACACAGUUUCAAGAAGUUAACCACAAGGCUUGCACACUGGCUGGCUUCCAGCCUUCUCCUCACAGAGUAGAUUAACUAAUCCAGACAAUUACUGUCAAACAAAGGAGCAGGUUGGAAAUUCUUGGAGGAUUUUUUUUUUUUUUUGUACAGCUUAUAUAGUUAAAUUGAGAGACCUCAAGUGGAAUUGUUUUCAUGAAUAAUUUAAGUAACUAUUCUAUUUAUCUAGUGCUUGUCGGGUAAAAAUUUACAAAAAUUAUGAAAGUUGGAUCAACUGACCAAUUUGAAGGACAAACAUGAUUCCAGCUUUCUUUUACUUUAUUUUUUCCCCUAGGACCACAGCAAUUAGAAUAAUUUUAUCAUGAGUUUGAGCAAAUAAGUCAUCCAAUCCCAAACUGAAAGUAAUUGAAAAGUAAACCAUCACAACAUCCCACCUCAAACAGGUGUAUUGGGAAGCAGUGUGUGUAUAUAGCACAUCUUAUAAAAUGAAAUAGGCAGGGUACAAAAUUUCUGAAAACAGAAUCUCUCAACUAGGACCUUCCCCAUGUGUGUGCCAUUACCUUGAUAAAUUUGAGACUUGACCAGUGGCUCAAUAAAUUUGGAGAAAACAGAAACAAUUAAGUUCUCACUUCAGAUUCAUACUUUUUAAAUUUUCUUUUAUAUUUUCAAAUUUAUGGUCUUAAUGCAGGCUAGGUAUUGCAUUUUGACAAUGGAAUCUGAAACAGCUACAACUCUAGAUUUUGUAAAUUCUUCUUCACCAUAGCAGUGGCUUAGUUUUAACUGUGAUUACUGUCUCAUUGGUCAAACUGUUUUGACAGAAAGGACAUUUUAUUGAGAGGUUAGUCCCCAAAAGACAUGCUUUGGAGAUCUUUUUCAAAUGUUCAAAUUAUGGAUGGCUUAGUUUAUACUCUUUACCCCAAAAUGAAAAUUCUGGCAUUCUCAUUAGCCUUCUCACAAAGCAAGUCUUUAAAGCUUCCCCAACACAUGUGAAAACCGAAUUUUAUGAGGAUUCAAGACCAGCCAGGAGACUUUAGUAAAGACUAGAUUUCAGAACAGCAGAUCUUUAGUUGUGCAAAGGACAUUGCUAAACUUCUGGGUUGGAAGGUAUCCUGAUAUACCUAAUUCUAUUUAUGAAACUGCAUAUGUGCUUUGAAACUCUGUUUAGAUCCAGCUCUUUCAGUUAGAGAUGGAAACCAUAUGUGUGUCUAAGGCCCUUAUGUUUUGCCUUGGAGAGUCUUAGAUUUUGUUUUGAUUUCAAACUUGGCAUCAUUUUCAGAUUUGGAGGCAUCCUGGGUAUGUCCUUGACCCUCUGUGUCAUGCAGAUACAUUUUUGUUAUCCAUUAUUACUCUUCUUAGAUGAGUCUCAGGGCCAUAUGCUUAGAAAGGUGUUGUGCCUUUCAUUCUCAGAAAAGUUAUUCUAAGUAAAACAGAGAUCCAAAGAAAAUAUGUGGAACAUUCAGGCUCACAAUCUUGUACAUAGUAAAAUAGUUUUUUGUUUAUUGUUUAUUUGAAUUAAUCAGGUCUGCUUUUCCCCUUUAUUCCUCAUUUCUUUUGUGGGAAGUGGACUAAAGCUUCUGCUGCACCACGAACCCAAGAAUUGUAGACAUAUCCCAGUGGCCAGAUGGCUGACUACCCACCGAAUCUAUCUUCCCAUUCUCUCAAGGUAAUGAGCUAGCUGUAGCCCAAUAUGUGACCUCUCAGUUGGCGGCUAUGUUUCAAGAGCCACUUGCAGGUGUGUGUCUGAGUUCCUUCCAGUGGAAUGUGAGCAGAAGGGACAGGAGACAUUUCUAGGCCCUGGGUCUGACACACAGCCUUCCCUGUGGUUGGUGCUGAACUACAGAGUAGCCGAAGACCAACUGGCUUUGAGCAUACAGGUGCAGGACUACUAUAUGAGAGAUGAAAAACCUUUGUCCUUAAAAUGAACUUUUUCCCUAAAAUCGCAUGUAGACCUUGGGGCUCAUGCAUAAGAAUUAAAGAGAAAGAGGAAAAUAAA
rnacentral:lncRNA from 1 species